UACGUAGGGUGCGAGCGUUAAUCGGAAUUACUGGGCGUAAAGCGUGCGCAGGCGGUUCGCCAAGUCAGGUGUGAAAUCCCCGGGCUUAACCUGGGAAUUGCGCUUGAAACUAGCGGGCUUGAGUGUGGCAGAGGGGGGUGGAAGUUCCACGGUGUAGCAGUGAAAUGCGUAGAGAUGUGGAGGAACACCGAUGGCGAAGGCAGCCCCCUGGGUCAACACUGACGCUCAUGCACGAAAGCGUGGGGAGCAAACAGG
rnacentral:rRNA from 1 species